CUACGAUAUAAAACCAAGGUUAAAACAGUUUAAAUAUAAAUAUAUGACUAUAAAUUUUAUACUGUUCGUUCAAUAUAAUUUUUUGUGUAUUUCACUAUUAUUAAAUCCAGUUUCUAUAAAUUAUUUACCCAGGGACAGAAGUUUGACUUCGUCAGGUCGCCCCAUAUUGGGGAAAUUGACAAAAAAUUAAUAGAUCAAAUUGUCAUGCUAUAGGUAGCUGUAUAUUUUAGUGGAUACGCAGUGAGUUUGAGAACGAGGCAUACAGUUAGUUUAGCAUUAUUCAUUAAUAAAUCAAAUUGUUAUGCUAUAUAGGUAGCACUGGCUAGGACCAUGGCGCAAUGCCAUGGCCUCAGCAUUUUGAUGAUGAAUCAUGCCAAUAUCAUGGCGUGGCAGCGGUUACUCGAGUCGACCUUCUGUGUGCCUUAUCUGCGUAUCAUUAAAAUAUAUAGCUGCCUGUAACAUGACAUAAUGAGAAAAGAUCUAUCAAUCUAUUUAUUAUUAAUCUAUUAAGAAUAAAUAUAUAUUAACAAGUUCUGGUCGCGUAUAUAUCCAGCGAAAUAUUAUACUACCAAGUUCUGACCGCGUCAGAUCCAGUGAAAUAGUGGCUACAUGAUAUGAUAUAACUAGUGGACAGGUAUUCUGCAAUUUAGCCCUCUGUCGAAAGUCGUGGGUUUUCUCCGGUUUCCUCCCACAGGGAAAUUUGACAGAGUGGGUUAGGAUAAACACAGUUAAGAGAGUAAAAUCACAAUUGUUGUAAAGAUACACGCGUGAAAACGCUCAGGUUGAUGCAAUACUGAUGAAAACAGGAUUGAACAAUGUUUUGCUGCCCACAUUGUUCACAGUUGUCAACAAUAUUGAACAAUAUUGUUACACACGAUUCAGGCUCAACAAUAUUGUUCAAUAUUGUUGACAAGUGUGAACAACGUGGGCAGCAAAACAUUGUUCAGUCCUGUUGAGCAACGGGCUUGGCGUUUUUUGCCGUGUACAAAACGCCGAGCCUGUAACAAUGUUGUUGAAAAC